UACGAAGGGGGCUAGCGUUGCUCGGAAUCACUGGGCGUAAAGCGCACGUAGGCGGAUUGCUAAGUCAGGGGUGAAAUCCUGGAGCUCAACUCCAGAACUGCCUUUGAUACUGGCGAUCUUGAGUCCGGGAGAGGUGAGUGGAACUGCGAGUGUAGAGGUGAAAUUCGUAGAUAUUCGCAAGAACACCGGUGGCGAAGGCGGGUCUCUGGGCAGUAACUGACGCUGAGGAGCGAAAGCGUGGGGAGCGAACAGG
rnacentral:rRNA from 1 species